GACGAACGCUGGCGGCGUGCUUAACACAUGCAAGUCGAACGGAAAGGCCCUGCUUUUUUGGGGUGCUCGAGUGGCGAACGGGUGGGUAACACGUGAGUAACCUGCCCUUGACUUUGGGAUAACUUCAGGAAACUGAGGCUAAUACCGGAUAGGAGCUCCUGCUGCAUGGUGGGGGUGGGAAAGUUUCGGCUGUUGGGGAUGGACUCGCGGCUUAUCAGCUUGUUGGUGGGGUAGUUGCUUACCAAGGCUUUGACGGGUAGCCGGCCUGAGAGGGUGACCGGGCUCAUUGGGACUGAGAUACGGCGCAGACUCCUACGGGAGGCAGUAGUGGGGAAUAUUGCCCAAUGGGCGGAAGCCUGAUGCAGCAACGCCGCGUGCGGGAUGACGGCCUUUGGGUUGUAAAACGCUUUAGCCUGUGACGAAGCGUGACUGACGGUAAUGGGUAAAGAAGCACCGGCUAACUACGUG
rnacentral:rRNA from 1 species